rnacentral:sRNA from 1 species
CUUGGUCAUUUAGAGGAAGUAAAAGUCGUAACAAGGUUUCCGUAGGUGAACCUGCGGAAGGAUCAUUAAGAAUUGAUAAUAUUUGUGAAAUUUACACAGCAAACAAUAAUCAUACAAUCAAAACAAAAAUAAUCAAAACUUUUAACAAUGGAUCUCUUGGUUCUCGUAUCGAUGAAGAACGCAGCGAAACGCGAUAUUUCUUGUGAAUUGCAGAAGUGAAUCAUCAGUUUUUGAACGCACAUUGCACUUUGGGGUAUCCCCCAAAGUAUACUUGUUUGAGCGUUGUUUCUCUCUUGGAAUUGCAUUGCUUUUCUAAAAUUUCGAAUCAAAUUCGUUUGAAAAACAACACUAUUCAACCUCAGAUCAAGUAGGAUUACCCGCUGAACUUAAGCAUAUCAAUAAGCGGAGGAAAAGAAACCAACAGGGAUUGCCUUAGUAACGGCGAGUGAAGCGGCAAAAGCUCAAAUUUGAAAUCGGCCACCAGGUCGAGUUGUAAUUUGUAGAUUGUAUCUUGAGAGCGGAUUAAAGUCUGUUGGAACACAGCGCCUUAGAGGGUGACAGCCCCGUAAAAUCUAUUCUCAUUGUAAGAUACUUUCGAAGAGUCGAGUUGUUUGGGAAU